CCUACGAGUGGCAGCAGUGAGGACUAUUGGUCACUGGACGGACGUCUGAACCAGCCAUGCCGCGUGCAGGCAGACGGCUCUAUGAGUUGUAACCUGCUUUUGUACAAGGGUAAACCUGAAUACGUGUAUUCAGCUGACAGUACUGUACGAAUAAGGAUCGGCUAACUCCGUGCCAGCAGCAGCGGUAAUACGGAGGAUCCAAGCGUUAUCCGGAUUUAUUGGGUUUAAAGGGUGCGUAGGCGGAUUGAGAAGUUAGAGGUGAAAUGUCCGAGCUUAACUCGGGAACUGCCUCUAAUACUGUUGAUCUAGAGAGUAGAUGCGGUAGGCGGAAUGUAUGGUGUAGCGGUGAAAUGCUUAGAGAUCAUACAGAACACCGAUUGCGAAGGCAGCUUACUAAUCUAUAUCUGACGUUGAGGCACGAAAGCGUGGGGAGCAAACAGGAUUAGAUACCCGAGUAGUC
rnacentral:rRNA from 1 species